CCCUGCAGUCUAGUUUAGAGGCUUUUGCACUAUUUGGGGGGAAAGAAUGUACUGGCGAUUUAGACAAGGGGGUGGCAGUGGUGGUGAGAAGUGGCUGGAUUUAUGGCAGGAUCAGGCAGGAUCUAGGACUCGGUGAAGGAUGGGAAAAAACGAGGACAAAUCUUUAGAAGAAUCAGGGAUGCACCGAGAGGGAUCAAGGGGGAGUCCUAGGUGCUGGCCUGGGCAGCUGCAGGGACGGUGGGCCACUUACAGACAGGAGAAAACUGGUGGUGUGGUUGGUCUGAGAAGGGAGUGAGGUCCAGGUGUUUGAAAAUUCCAGGAACACCGUUUGAAGAAUACGGACCGACUGCAGGAAUAACCCCUCUCUACAGUCUUCAUUCCUGCCGAUGGCUUUCUUAACUCGGGAGUUCUGGGCAUGCAUGUUAUUGUCCUGUCCAGCAGCGACAGACCUGGGUUUUCCGGGGCACGGCCCAGGAGAAACCAGGACCCACAUCACACGCUGGCGUGUAGAUCCGUUCUGCGUGAGGAUCAAUAUGACCUCACUUGUGGGUUUUUCUCGACAAUUCUAAUAGCAAGACAGUCACGGUUCAGCUUUUCGUUUUAGUGGGGGCUGCGGGUGGGGCAGAGAGGCGGUGGCCGGUGUAGGGAACUAACGUGUAUUUAGCUCUGGCCAAUGUGAAAGGCGGGCUACUAGGUGAUUUAUGAUUUCUUUUAAUCCUCACAAAACCCCUGCAAGGGAGCGCUGUUAUCUGCAUUUUGUAGGUAAGAUAAUUUAGACUUCAAGCAGGGAGGUGGCCUGCACGGCAUCCCAGAGGAAGUAGCAGUAGUGGUAACUUGCCGAGCGCCUGUUAAACCAGGUGCCUGUGAGUGCGAUCUGCUUUCAUCUCCACAGCGACCCAGGGUAAGCAGCACUGCUAUCAUUUCCACCUUCUCAAUAAGGAAGCGGAGAAGUGAAGUGAAGUGAAGUAAGCCACCGCACGGUAAGUGCCGGGGCGGCACCUGAACACGGGCUGUCUCCUACCGGCUGACGCUGGAGCUGUUCUGAAGGAACUAGUACAGGCCCUGCUCCUUCCGUUCUUCCAUCCUGCCACGGCCGCUGAUGGAAGCGUGGUGUGCGCUGAGAUAAAGCCCUACGCAGCAUUACUGUGGCCCUCUCUCCCAGUGGUCUCCACUUGUCAAUUCUUAUCGGUUUUAUAUCUUCAUCAUUUCUAAGUUCUAUGUGGGGGCAUGUUCUAUAGAGUACAUUUUAUUAUUUUUUUCUAGAGAACAGUUUUUCUUCGGUCCUUAAGGACUCAGCUCCUUACGUGGGCUUCGGUGGAGGUCGUGGGGCAGCGCUUCGUGGGGCUCAUCGGGGUGGGGUGUUUGGACCUUCUGUGCUUCACACGAGCUGAAGACUCCCGGCAAGACUACCUUGCUGUGAAUGGCAUAUCUCACACAGUCAUGCAGUUUCCCACAUAGCCUGGGAAGCAUGGAGGACUGUAUAUACCUUAAUCUUUCUGCUGAUUCAAUAUGAUUUCAGUUGAAAGAACUUCAGUCUGCAAAAAUCAUGGCUAAUCUCUCUCACAGGUUCAGUAUAUGUGUGUUAUAUCAGUCAAUCCCAAAUGGAAUCCACUUCUGACCUCUGUUUUACAGCAAUGACACACGUCCCAGGCAGCAAUGAUCGUAAGUGCUCCACAGUGUCAGCCAGUGAGUGCCAGGCGCUGUGCUCAACGAUACAACUCUAUGAGGUAGAUUACAGUUGAGGACAUUGAUUAAGAGAGGUCAUGUGACCAGCUAGAGGUCACAGUUUGUAAAUGCCAGAGUCAGGAUUUGCAUCUGAGCCUCAAACCAGAGCAAUAAUAAGAAUGUUGUGUCCAUCUGUAAACACGUUGGGGAAGUUUCGUUUCUUUGUGGUUUUCUAUCUCUCAAAUGGAAGAAAACCACAUCCUUGUCUUGGUUGUAACCUCUUAUACUAUUCUGAAUCCUCCAUCAAGGUGUUAAAAAAAAAUACAGGUAAAUAUCUAACAAUUAAGCAUUGCUAUUUUAGGUUAGGAGACCCUCCUUUCAGCCUGAAGCCUCCAGGAAUGGCCUUUAGAUAGCAGGUUUGUUAGCUCUUGCUUGCCUGGGCUUGCAUGUUUGUGUUGUCCCCCCCCCACCCCCAUUCAUAUUUUGAAGCUCUAAUCCUUAGUGUGCUUAUAUUUGGAUACGGGGCCCUUAAGGAAGUAAUUAAAGAUAAAUGAGGUCAAAAGGGUGGGACCCUGAUCCAGUAGGACUGGUGUCUUUAUUAGAAGAGAUACCAAAGGGCUCUCUUUCUACCCCACCCCCUGCCCCCACCAACAGAAAAGGCCAUGUAAGGACACAGUGAGAAGGUGGCCCUCUACAAGCCACGAAGAGAGCUCUCACCAGGCGCUGAAUUAGCCAGCACCUUGAUCCAGGACUCCUAGCCUCCAGAACUGUGAGAAAAUACAUUUUGGUUGUUUAAAGCAAUCCAGUCUGUGAUAUUGUGUUAUGGCAUUAUGGGCAGACUCAUACAGGGGCCAAAAACUCUCAGCUUUUUGUCAUGAAAAGACAGAGAAAAGAACGUAGAUAAUUAGAAGAAAAGACGGGGUCAUUCGGGAAAAAUAGCUCAAAGAAUGCUGUAAUUAAUGAGGGUCUUCUGCCUACCUGUACAUUUGCAGCCUUCGGCUAGAAAAGAGUGAACCUCCAGUUACAUUUGUAAAUACGCAGAACAGCCUUCUCCACAACACACCUCAGGGAAGAGGUCUUACCCAGGGAACUUAUUAAAGCCCAAUGUUCAGGAAAUCUAGUGUAGGCAAAUGAAUAAAUAAAAUCCUGCAAACCUUGGGAUUUCUCAGAAGGAGAUUAUUUCCAUUCUCUAGGAAGCAUAUAAAAGCAUCCCUCCCCCCCCCCCCCCCCCCCAAUACCAGGUCUCCAAGAUAUGGCGGGGAAAAAAACCAAACCUUAAAUGGAGUUGACAACCUCAGGGCAUUUGUUUUGGGGUACAAAGAGAAAUGUGUUCUUUUAAGAGCAUUUUAUAAAAUGGAAACUGCUUUGUUCUUCAGUUUGGAUAUGGUUGAGGCCAUCACUAACACUAAUUCAUUAUAAUUGAAAAUGUUUAGAGCUUCUGUCUGAAACCCUUACUACAUUAAUUUAGAAGGUAGGAAUUCAUAUGCUCUUAAAUUCACCCUGGCUCCCCAUCUUCUAGGGAUGGACUAACUUUCCUGGACAGUUGUUGGCACCUAGUCAGUGGACGUGUGCCAGUCUUGUGUCUGUGUGGCGUGGAGUUGUAAGAUCCAGCCUUCAGUCCAAGGAGACACACAAAGGAGAUGAUUUAAUUAACAGAGCAAAGGCAAAAAAAACUGCAUUUUGGUUGGUCACAGAGGUAACCUGAAAAGAAGCCUGAACUGGACUGUUCCACCCACAUGUUACACUUGUUUAUACACCAGGGUCUUUUUCUUUUAUUAUGUUCAGCAUCUGAGUUCAGCUAUUGAUUCUACAGAGCCUUUUGGAAACACACAACUAUGCCACCAACACAAAAAAUCUUGAUAUAUUUCUAACAAGUUGUUUAUCAAUAGCUGCAGGUCUCUCCUAGUUUUCCAAAAUGCCAGUCAUCACACCUUUUUCACAGAGAAGCUGGGCUGGUCUGGGCUAUGAAACACAUUGCUGAAGAGUUUACAGAUACCAGUUAAGAAAUUGAGUACUUCUUGGGAAUGCAAACUGGUGCAGCUACUCUGGAAAACUGUAUGGAGAUUCCUCAAAAAACUAAACAUAGAACUACCCUAUGGUCCAGCAAUUGCACUACUAGGCAUUUAUCCACAGGAUACAGGUGUGCUGUUUCAAAGGGACACAUGCACCCCCGUGUUUAUAGCAGCACUAUCGACAAUAGCCAAAGUAUGGAGAGAGCCCAAAUGUCCAUUGAUGGAUGACUGGAUAAAAAAGAUGUGUAUGUAUAUAUAUGUACAUGUAUAUAUAUAUACAAUGGAGUAUUACUCGGCAAUCUAAAAGAAAGAAAUCUUGCCAUUUGCAACUACGUGGAUGGAACUGGAGAGUAUUAUGCUAAGCGAAAUUAUUCAGUCAGAGAAAGACAAAUAUCGUAUCACUUCACUCAUAUGAGGACUUUAAGACACAGAACAGAUGACCAUAAGAGAAGGGAAACAAAAAUAAUAUAAAAACAGGGAGGGGGAUAAAACAUAAGAGACUCUUAAAUAUACAGAACAAACAGGGCUGCUGGAGGGGUUGUGGGAGGGGCGAUGGACUAAAUGGGUAAGGGGCUUAAGGAAUCUACUCCUGAAAUCAUUGCUACACCAUGUGCCAAGUAACUUGGAUGUAAAUUAUAAAAAAUAAGUAAAUUAUGGAAAAUAAAAUUAAAAAAAAAA